rnacentral:rRNA from 1 species
GACAGAGGAUGCAAGCGUUAUCCGGAAUGAUUGGGCGUAAAGCGUCUGUAGGUGGCUUUUUAAGUCUGCCGUCAAAUCCCAGGGCUCAACCCUGGACAGGCGGUGGAAACUACCAAGCUGGAGUACGGUAGGGGCAGAGGGAAUUUCCGGUGGAGCGGUGAAAUGCGUAGAGAUCGGGAAGAACGCCAAGGGCGAAGGCACUCUGCUAGGCCUGAUUUCGCG